AGACGUCUACAUUAGAUACCCGUGUAGUCCCAGCCGUAAGCUAUGCGCGUUAGGUGUAUCGGUGACCACGAGUUACCGAGGUGCCGAAGGGAAACCGUGAAACGUGCCGCCUGGGAGGUACGGUCGCAAGGCUGAAACUUAAAGGAAUUGGCGGGGAGCACCACAACGGGUGGAGCCUGCGGUUUAAUUGGACUCAACGCCGGGAAGCUCACCGGAUAAGACAGCGGAAUGAUUGCCGGGCUGAAGACUCUGCAUGACUAGCUG
rnacentral:rRNA from 1 species